CCUACGGGAGGCAGCAGUGGGGAAUAUUGCACAAUGGGGGAAACCCUGAUGCAGCGACGCCGCGUGGGUGAAGAAGUAUUUCGGUACGUAAAGCUCUAUCAGCAGGGAAGAAAAUGACGGUACCUGACUAAGAAGCCCCGGCUAACUACGUGCCAGCAGCCGCGGUAAUACGUAGGGGGAAAGCGUUAUCCGGAUUUACUGGGUGUAAAGGGAGCGUAGACGGCAGCGCAAGUCUGGAGUGAAAUCCCAUGGCUUAACCAUGGAACUGCUUUGGAAACUGUGCAGCUAGAGUGCAGGAGAGGUAAGCGGAAUUCCUAGUGUAGCGGUGAAAUGCGUAGAUAUUAGGAGGAACACCAGUGGCGAAGGCGGCUUACUGGACUGUAACUGACGUUGAGGCUCGAAAGCGUGGGGAGCAAACAGGAUUAGAUACCCGUGUAGUC
rnacentral:rRNA from 1 species